CCAAGUUCAGCUGUAUGCGGUCACCCUGAGAUUCCUUCCUACUUGAUUAUUUCUCACAGACUUAACCAAGAAAAUAUCGUUCUGGAAGAUUGCUAGGCAGGCUUUUCCAUUGCAUUGCAGGACAACUCAGAUAAUGCAGGUCCAGUCCUCUGAGUCAUCCAGUGUGGGCUGGAGGUUUGGAACCUGGAAAUGUCUGAUCUAGGCAAGUAAUAAGCUGACGUCAAAAGACUUGGUGCACAGGUCUAUUGAAGCACCUAAGAGGAAAGACACUUCUUCAAACCUCAAAUGCUCUUUACAUCCAGCAAAUCUGGACUGGAAGUCGUUCAAUAAGAUGACUUCCCAUGAAAUGUCUGGUACUUCAUGUUUCCCGUCAGGUCAUAAAUGCCACGAGAACAGCUUUUCCUCCUCCAUUUAAAUUUGUCCAGUGCCAGUUUUGGUCUUGUCCCAAAGCCAAAAACUUUGGAGACAUUGACAGAAAAGAAAGUAAUUAACCAUAUUGGAAGAGCCCAGAGAGUUCUGUGUAGAUUCUGCUGUAGAUGCUGAGUGUACUUUGUCUACUUAUUGAAAAAAGAAAAAAAAGUGAACUGUAAAACAGCCUCAAGCAGGUCCUUCAGGAGGUAUCCAGAAGAAGGCAUUGUCAUAGGAGAUGACAGCUCCAUGCGUGUUAUUGCUCCUGAAGACCUUCCAGGAGUAGGUGCAGAGGAAUCCAAGGUGUAGGGAAUGAAAGAGCCACAAGAUGUAAGAAACCUCAGUUCCUCAAUGUAGACAUGGAAGAAAGCUUCCGGGAGCAGGCUCACUGGAUUUGGUCACAUAAUGAUCACAGAAUAAACUCUUGUGGUGAUCACUUGAAGGAACACUGCCCCAGAGGGUGAAGGUUCUCUGGGCCAGAAGCUCAUGACCAGAUGAUCCAGCAACAGGACUGAGGGUGCCUGGGGCAAGCGCCAUCUGAUGUCAUCACCCUCACAGAGACCUGGAAUCAGUGAAACUACAAAUGGUACUGCAGAUGGAACCUCGGAUGACUUCAACCAGCACCUAUUAUCAAGGACCCCUAGACUAGCCUGCCAGCCCAUACCCAGAUAUUGACACCCAAACCACCUCUCAUGAGGAAACCUCAGCUGCAGGGACCCUUCUAUGCCCCUACUCAGCAGGAAGCAGUUUCAGCGGUCAUCGUCCCACACCCAACAGCAGUUGGGCUCUCCUGUUGAGAGGGGAGACUGAGGGGUAGAGUUGGUGGGACUUCCUGGGCCGAUUGAAGGACUUUUGCAAAAGACCCCUGUGACUCAGGGUUUUGAGUUCUUAACCAUUCGAGUGAAGGAUUCAAAAUUAACCACUCUGAGGGAAGAUUGAAAAAAGAACCACUCUCAAUGGGCAAAAAGAAAGAAAGGGGAGGGGGUAACAUAGGGAUAUAAGCCCUAGCCAUCCGAGCCAGCAACAGCAACCCUUCUGGGUCCCCAUCCACCACGUGGAAGCUUUCCCUUCACUUUGUUCAAUAAACUGCACUGUUCCUCACUCUCCUGGUCCAUGGACUCUUUUUGGACUGUUAACACUCACCACGAAAGUCUGCAGCUUCAUUCUUCAAAGUUAGCAAGACCACUAAUGCAUCAGCAGGAAAAACUCCUGACUGAAUAUGACCCAACAAUUCCAUACCUAAGUAUAUAGCCAAGGGAAAUGAAUUCAUAUAUCUU
rnacentral:lncRNA from 10 species